rnacentral:rRNA from 1 species
GGGGAAUAUUGCACAAUGGGGGAAACCCUGAUGCAGCAACGCCGCGUGAGCGAUGAAGGCCUUCGGGUUGUAAAGCUCUGUCUUCAGGGACGAUAAUGACGGUACCUGAGGAGGAAGCCACGGCUAACUACGUGCCAGCAGCCGCGGUAAUACGUAGGUGGCAAGCGUUGUCCGGAAUUAUUGGGCGUAAAGGAUGCGUAGGCGGUCCUUUAAGUGGGAUGUGAAAUCCCUGGGCUUAACCCAGGAAUAGCAUUCCAAACUGGAGGACUAGAGUGCAGGAGAGGAAAGUGGAAUUCCCAGUGUAGCGGUGAAAUGCGUAGAGAUUGGGAGGAACACCAGUGGCGAAGGCGGCUUUCUGGACUGUAACUGACGCUGAGGCAUGAAAGCGUGGGGAGCAAAC